AGAGUUUGAUCAUGGCUCAGGAUUAACGCUAGCGGCAGGCCUAAUACAUGCAAGUCGAACGGCAGCACGGGUAGCAAUACCUGGUGGCGAGUGGCGCACGGGUGCGUAACACGUAUGCAAUCUACCUUUAACUGGGGAAUAACCCCUCGAAAGAGGGGCUAAUACCGCAUAAUACUUCGGAGGGACAUCCCUUUGAAGUCAAAUCUACGGAGGUUAAAGAUGAGCAUGCGUCCGAUUAGCUAGUUGGCGGGGUAACGGCCCACCAAGGCAACGAUCGGUAGGGGAUCUGAGAGGAUGAUCCCCCACACUGGUACUGAGACACGGACCAGACUCCUACGGGAGGCAGCAGUAAGGAAUAUUGGACAAUGGGCGCAAGCCUGAUCCAGCCAUGCCGCGUGCAGGAUGAAAGUGCUAUGCACUGUAAACUGCUUUUGUUUGGGAAAAAACCCCUGGUUUCUACCGGGGCUGAUUGUACCAAAAGAAUAAGGGACGGCUAACUUCGUGCCAGCAGCCGCGGUAAUACGAAGGUCCCAAGCGUUAUCCGGAUUUAUUGGGUUUAAAGGGUGCGUAGGCGGGCUAUUAAGUCAGUGGUGAAAGCCCCAAGCUUAACUUGGGAACUGCCAUUGAUACUGAUGGUCUUGAGUACAUUUGAGGUGGGCGGAAUGUGUCAUGUAGCGGUGAAAUGCUUAGAUAUGACACAGAACACCGAUUGCGAAGGCAGCUCACUAAACUGUAACUGACGCUGAGGCACGAAAGCGUGGGGAGCAAACAGGAUUAGAUACCCUAGUAGUCC
rnacentral:rRNA from 1 species